UACGUAGGGGGCAAGCGUUGUCCGGAUUUAUUGGGCGUAAAGAGCUCGUAGGCGGUUGGGUAAGUCGGGUGUGAAAACUCCGGGCUCAACUCGGAGACGCCACCCGAUACUGCUCUGACUUGAGUCCGGUAGGGGAGUGGGGAAUUCCUGGUGUAGCGGUGAAAUGCGCAGAUAUCAGGAGGAACACCGGUGGCGAAGGCGGGUCUCUGGGCCGAUACUGACGCUGAGGAGCGAAAGCGUGGGGAGCGAACAGG
rnacentral:rRNA from 1 species